rnacentral:rRNA from 1 species
UACGUAGGGUGCAAGCGUUGUCCGGAAUUAUUGGGCGUAAAGAGCUCGUAGGCGGUCUGUUGCGUCGGCUGUGAAAACCCGAGGCUCAACCUCGGGCCUGCAGCCGAUACGGGCAGACUAGAGUUCGGCAGGGGAGACUGGAAUUCCUGGAGUAGCGGUGAAAUGCGCAGAUAUCAGGAGGAACACCGGUGGCGAAGGCGGGUCUCUGGGCCGAUACUGACGCUGAGGAGCGAAAGCGUGGUGAGCGAACAGG